CAGCUGGUGCAUCUUCCAAGUUACAUCUUGCUUACCCCUGGAAGCAAUGGUCCUCUUCCCCUUGCACAGACAGAGAGCUUCGUAGAGUGUAACAGAAACGGCAAUUGGCACCUUCAUGUUACAAAACGUAUGUCUUACAUUUGGAGACGGCCGUCGAUGUUUUUGGGUCGAAGCCAAUGAUCAAGGUGAGCAUGGGCACAAAUAUUCCACCUCCGCCAACCCCCCCGACGCUUCCGAGAGCGGCCCCAAGGAAUCCGAUGAUCGAACCCAGUACGACCCUCCAUCCAAACUCAAGGUCCUGAGCAAUUCAGUCAAAAUCUCAACCGCAAGAACAUGCAAAUUACAUGAAGAAGAAGAGAUCGGUAGAACUACUGGAUUUCUAGAAUAACUUCUAUACUCGUGAAGUAGAAGUCAAACGUUUGACUUGCACAUAGUCAAGAGCUUUUUGACCAAUGUGAGCUUCUCAAUUAUAAGCGGAAGCUUCAACUUUAAAGCGGCCGCUUUCUAACAAGAAAGCUAUCAAAGCCUGCUUUUCAUAUGGCUUUUGCUCGGGCAAUUGUAAGAAGUUAACUUCGAAUGAAACUCAUACUGGCCAAACACGCUUCUUCGAAGAAUCGCCAUUGUUGAAGAGGCUAUCAAAAAUGUUGCUGAGGAUGUAUUUGUAGUCCCUCUCUCCAAACCCCUUGUAAAUGGAGCUAAUGCUAUUGUUGGUGCUUGUUUCAUUGAGGGAGUAUGCGAGGGGCCUUUUCGCAAAUACUGCUCUCAAUCCCAUGGCUAAGCUACAAUAAAAAACCAACAUUCCUACUAUUCUCCAGCUUUUCUCCUUUCUCACACCCAUUAUUUCUCUCCUCCUUAAAAAAAAAAACACUAAAAACCCAACUCAAAAAAGUGUUUGUUCUCCCUCUCUACUUCACUCACACUAUAUUAUGCAAGAGGAAUUGGGGAUGUUAUUCA